UACGUAGGCAGCAAGCGUUGUUCGGAGUUACUGGGCGUAAAGGGUGUGUAGGCGGUUUUUUAAGUCUGGUGUGAAAUCUCCCGGCUCAACUGGGAGGGUGCGCCGAAAACUGGAAGGCUAGAGUGCGGGAUGGGAGAGUGGAAUUCCUGGUGUAGCGGUGAAAUGCGUAGAUAUCAGGAGGAACACCUGUGGUGUAGACGGCUCUCUGGACCGCAACUGACGCUGAGACACGAAAGCGUGGGUAGCAAACAGG
rnacentral:rRNA from 1 species